UACGGGGGGGCAAGCGUUGUUCGGAAUUACUGGGCGUAAAGGGCUCGUAGGCGGCCAACUAAGUCAGACGUGAAAUCCCUCGGCUUAACCGGGGAACUGCGUCUGAUACUGGAUGGCUUGAGGUUGGGAGAGGGAUGCGGAAUUCCAGGUGUAGCGGUGAAAUGCGUAGAUAUCUGGAGGAACACCGGUGGCGAAGGCGGCAUCCUGGACCAAUUCUGACGCUGAGUGAGCGAAAGCCAGGGGAGCA
rnacentral:rRNA from 1 species